rnacentral:rRNA from 1 species
GGGUUGUGAGGUUAAGCGACUAAGCGUACACGGUGGAUGCCCUGGCAGUCAGAGGCGAUGAAGGACGUGCUAAUCUGCGAUAAGCGUCGGUAAGGUGAUAUGAACCGUUAUAACCGGCGAUUUCCGAAUGGGGAAACCCAGUGUGAUUCGUCACACUAUCAUUAACUGAAUCCAUAGGUUAAUGAGGCGAACCGGGGGAACUGAAACAUCUAAGUACCCCGAGGAAAAGAAAUCAACCGAGAUUCCCCCAGUAGCGGCGAGCGAACGGGGAGCAGCCCAGAGCCUGAAUCAGUGUGUGUGUUAGUGGAAGCGUCUGGAAAGGCGCGCGAUACAGGGUGACAGCCCCGUACACAAAAAUGCACAUGCUGUGAGCUCGAUGAGUAGGGCGGGACACGUGGUAUCCUGUCUGAAUAUGGGGGGACCAUCCUCCAAGGCUAAAUACUCCUGACUGACCGAUAGUGAACCAGUACCGUGAGGGAAAGGCGAAAAGAACCCCGGCGAGGGGAGUGAAAAAGAACCUGAAACCGUGUACGUACAAGCAGUGGGAGCACGCUUAGGCGUGUGACUGCGUACCUUUUGUAUAAUGGGUCAGCGACUUAUAUUCUGUAGCAAGGUUAACCGAAUAGGGGAGCCGAAGGGAAACCGAGUCUUAACUGGGCGUUAAGUUGCAGGGUAUAGACCCGAAACCCGGUGAUCUAGCCAUGGGCAGGUUGAAGGUUGGGUAACACUAACUGGAGGACCGAACCGACUAAUGUUGAAAAAUUAGCGGAUGACUUGUGGCUGGGGGUGAAAGGCCAAUCAAACCGGGAGAUAGCUGGUUCUCCCCGAAAGCUAUUUAGGUAGCGCCUCGUGAAUUCAUCUCCGGGGGUAGAGCACUGUUUCGGCAAGGGGGUCAUCCCGACUUACCAACCCGAUGCAAACUGCGAAUACCGGAGAAUGUUAUCACGGGAGACACACGGCGGGUGCUAACGUCCGUCGUGAAGAGGGAAACAACCCAGACCGCCAGCUAAGGUCCCAAAGUCAUGGUUAAGUGGGAAACGAUGUGGGAAGGCCCAGACAGCCAGGAUGUUGGCUUAGAAGCAGCCAUCAUUUAAAGAAAGCGUAAUAGCUCACUGGUCGAGUCGGCCUGCGCGGAAGAUGUAACGGGGCUAAACCAUGCACCGAAGCUGCGGCAGCGACGCUUAUGCGUUGUUGGGUAGGGGAGCGUUCUGUAAGCCUGUGAAGGUGUGCUGUGAGGCAUGCUGGAGGUAUCAGAAGUGCGAAUGCUGACAUAAGUAACGAUAAAGCGGGUGAAAAGCCCGCUCGCCGGAAGACCAAGGGUUCCUGUCCAACGUUAAUCGGGGCAGGGUGAGUCGACCCCUAAGGCGAGGCCGAAAGGCGUAGUCGAUGGGAAACAGGUUAAUAUUCCUGUACUUGGUGUUACUGCGAAGGGGGGACGGAGAAGGCUAUGUUGGCCGGGCGACGGUUGUCCCGGUUUAAGCGUGUAGGCUGGUUUUCCAGGCAAAUCCGGAAAAUCAAGGCUGAGGCGUGAUGACGAGGCACUACGGUGCUGAAGCAACAAAUGCCCUGCUUCCAGGAAAAGCCUCUAAGCAUCAGGUAACAUCAAAUCGUACCCCAAACCGACACAGGUGGUCAGGUAGAGAAUACCAAGGCGCUUGAGAGAACUCGGGUGAAGGAACUAGGCAAAAUGGUGCCGUAACUUCGGGAGAAGGCACGCUGAUAUGUAGGUGAAGUCCCUCGCGGAUGGAGCUGAAAUCAGUCGAAGAUACCAGCUGGCUGCAACUGUUUAUUAAAAACACAGCACUGUGCAAACACGAAAGUGGACGUAUACGGUGUGACGCCUGCCCGGUGCCGGAAGGUUAAUUGAUGGGGUUAGCGCAAGCGAAGCUCCUGAUCGAAGCCCCGGUAAACGGCGGCCGUAACUAUAACGGUCCUAAGGUAGCGAAAUUCCUUGUCGGGUAAGUUCCGACCUGCACGAAUGGCGUAAUGAUGGCCAGGCUGUCUCCACCCGAGACUCAGUGAAAUUGAACUCGCUGUGAAGAUGCAGUGUACCCGCGGCAAGACGGAAAGACCCCGUGAACCUUUACUAUAGCUUGACACUGAACAUUGAGCCUUGAUGUGUAGGAUAGGUGGGAGGCUUUGAAGUGUGGACGCCAGUCUGCAUGGAGCCGACCUUGAAAUACCACCCUUUAAUGUUUGAUGUUCUAACGUUGACCCGUAAUCCGGGUUGCGGACAGUGUCUGGUGGGUAGUUUGACUGGGGCGGUCUCCUCCUAAAGAGUAACGGAGGAGCACGAAGGUUGGCUAAUCCUGGUCGGACAUCAGGAGGUUAGUGCAAUGGCAUAAGCCAGCUUGACUGCGAGCGUGACGGCGCGAGCAGGUGCGAAAGCAGGUCAUAGUGAUCCGGUGGUUCUGAAUGGAAGGGCCAUCGCUCAACGGAUAAAAGGUACUCCGGGGAUAACAGGCUGAUACCGCCCAAGAGUUCAUAUCGACGGCGGUGUUUGGCACCUCGAUGUCGGCUCAUCACAUCCUGGGGCUGAAGUAGGUCCCAAGGGUAUGGCUGUUCGCCAUUUAAAGUGGUACGCGAGCUGGGUUUAGAACGUCGUGAGACAGUUCGGUCCCUAUCUGCCGUGGGCGCUGGAGAACUGAGGGGGGCUGCUCCUAGUACGAGAGGACCGGAGUGGACGCAUCACUGGUGUUCGGGUUGUCAUGCCAAUGGCACUGCCCGGUAGCUAAAUGCGGAAGAGAUAAGUGCUGAAAGCAUCUAAGCACGAAACUUGCCCCGAGAUGAGUUCUCCCUGACUCCUUGAGAGUCCUGAAGGAACGUUGAAGACGACGACGUUGAUAGGCCGGGUGUGUAAGCGCAGCGAUGCGUUGAGCUAACCGGUACUAAUGAACCGUGAGGCUUAACCUUACAACGCCGAAG